rnacentral:rRNA from 1 species
GACGAACGCUGGCUGCGUGCCUAAUACAUGCAAGUCGAACGCUGAAGAGAGGAGCUUGCUCUUCUUGGAUGAGUUGCGAACGGGUGAGUAACGCUUAGGUAACCUGCCUUGUCGCGGGGGUUAACUAUUGGCAACGAUAGCUAAUACCGCAUAACAAUGGCUUACACCUGUCAUUUAUUUGAAAGGUUCAAUUGCUCUACUUCACGAUGGACCUGCGUUGUAUUAGCUUGUAGGUGAGGUAAUGGCUCCCCUAGGCGACGAUACAUAGCCGACCUGAGAGGGAGAGCGGCGACACUGAGACUGGGACAGGGACAAGACUCAUACGGGAAGGAGCAGUAGGGAAGAGUCGGAAAGAGGGACAAGCCUGAGCGAGAAACGCCGAGGGAGUGAAGAAGGUGAUCGGAUCGUAAAGCGCUGUCGGAAGUCAAGAACGGGUGUGAGAGUGGAAAGUUCACAUUGUGAAGGUAGCUUACCAGAAAGGGACGGCUAAUUACGUG